rnacentral:rRNA from 1 species
UACGUAGGGUGCGAGCGUUGUCCGGAAUUAUUGGGCGUAAAGAGCUCGUAGGCGGCUUGUCACGUCGGGUGUGAAAUCUAUGGGCUCAACCCAUAGUCUGCAUUAGAAACUGUCGGGCUUGAGUAUGGGAGAGGUGAGUGGAAUUUCCGGUGUAGCGGUGAAAUGCGUAGAUAUCGGGAGGAACACCUGUGGCGAAAGCGGCUCACUGGACCACAACUGACGCUGAGGCGCGAAAGCUAGGGGAGCAAACAGG